rnacentral:lncRNA from 1 species
ACCCGACCCGCAGAAUCCAGCCGGAGAAGCGUUUGCUUCUCGCGGAAGGGGGAAGCGAGCGGGACCGGGACAGGCGGCCCCAGGGCCACGGCCGGCGGGACCGGGACGGGAGGGCUCGCGCUCGCCCCCGCUCCCGCGGGGCCCCGCACUCACCUCACGCCGGAGCCGCGCCCGGACUGCGGGGCGGGGCCUGCGCUCGGCCCCGCCGCUUCCGCCGCGCUAGCGGGGUUGGGGGCGGCCCGGCCCCUUCCUGCCCGCCUGAGGGGAGCCGGGGAACCACUCGCCGGCAGCGGGCGCUGGGUUUGGGUCCGGCCUCGGCAGGUUUGUGCUAGGCCUGCGUGGGGCCGGGCGAGGGUGAAGGCGCCUGGGCGGCGCGGGAAGGCCGAGCUGGCGGCCGGGGGACGGCGGGCGCCCCGGGCGGGGCGGGGCGGUGCCGGCUGGCCGGGUCGCUCGUCGGUGGAGGGGGCGGCGGGCGAGCGGAGCCCGCGCCUGCCUCCUGCGCGUGGGUUUUCGGUGGAAGUACCUCAGAUCGGCAGAAAAGGAGCGAUGGCUCCAGGCCGUCGUUGGUCAGACGGGAGCCGAGGGCAGGUGGGUUGCGGUGAGCGCGGUCGGCCCUUGGGAUGCCGAACCGGGGCCUGCGCGGUGCCGGCUGCUCGUCCUGGCGCCCCGCCGCCCGAGGCGGCUGCAGCCGGGGGCGAAGGCGGGGCCGGGCCGGAGCUGGCUGCUGGCGGGUCCCCCGGCUCCUGUGAGAGGCCUUGCCAAACCUGGGGCUUACCAGGGAGGGCAGUACGUGGAGAAGAAAUUAGCGUGUGGAACUGUCGAUUUGCGCACAGCUGCGAUUUUAUUAUCAUCGUUCCAAAUGCUUUGUUCGAAAGUAUUACUGAGGUGAAAAAAGUUUCAUCCUGUGCUUGGAUGCAGGUACCCGUCUGUUGCAGGCACUGGGAGUUGUCAGAAGGUGGCUCUAAAUCACGCUUCUGUUUAGGUACUGGCACGUGUCUUUUAUCUAUUAAUUUCUCUCAUUUAUAA